AUACGUAGGUGACAAGCGUUAUCCGGAUUUACUGGGCGUAAAGGGCGUGUAGGCGGUCUUGCAAGUCAGAAGUGAAAUUCCUGAGCUCAACUCGGGCGCUGCUUCUGAAACUGCAGGACUUGAGUGCUGGAGGGGAUAGCGGAAUUCCUAGUGGAGCGGUAAAAUGCGCAGAUAUUAGGAAGAACACCGGUGGCGAAGGCGGCUAUCUGGACAGUAACUGACGCUGAGGCGCGAAAGCGUGGGGAGCAAACAGGAUUAGAUACCCUGGUAGUCCACACUGUAAACGAUGAAUGCUAGGUGUAGGGGGUAUCGACCCCUUCUGUGCCGCAGUCAACACAAUAAGUAUUCCGCCUGGGGAGUACGGCCGCAAGGUUGAAACUCAAAUGAAUUGACGGG
rnacentral:rRNA from 1 species